GGCGUCUCUGGUGGACGCGGUGGUUUCAUGGUGCGGCCUCGCGACAAAUUCGAUCUGAUUUGGAAGAAAAGCAUGAAGAAAUUAAGUAAACAAUGGUCAAGGAUGGUGUUUGAGAUUUUUCUCAACUUUGCAUCCUUGAUCGGACCGCAUUACCAGUUCCAAGGACAGUGUGUUGGAGCAUUGAGGGAGGAAGGACAUUGUCAGCGUUGAAGAUUUGAACCCAUUGCCUGCUUUUAUUUGCAACAGGAGAGAUGCAGUGAGCUGCCAAGAUGGGAAAAGGAGAGUGUGCGUCUCCCUCUCCAAGUCACCGUUGCAGUCGACUGGGGCGCCGUCCUACCGUGCUGUGCCCUGCACUGCUCUCCUCCACGCCUCGCCUCCUCGCCUCGCCUCGCCUCCUCGCCACGCCCUGCCUCGCCUCGCCUCGCCACGCCGUGCCCUACCGCCCUGGCCCGGCGCGGCUGGGGCCGUUGCCAUUCUAAGUCAUCACUAGAAGUGCGUCCAACGUAUGGCCUUUUGUGUUCUUGCCAGUGCGGUUGGCAACUGCGUUUGCUAGUGCGUUUGGCAAAUGGGCAAUUGUUCCAAGUGUCAGUGCUGCCUCAAAAGGUGUGUGAAGUGCGUGUCGUGACCGUGUCACUCGGCCCGCUACACCAGCUCGCCGUCUCCCUCUGGCCGACUCAAGAUUCCAUCAUCUGGCGUGAGUAAAAGUCGACCCGAAGUCGUGAAUGAUGUCGUUUUCAGCCGGAAACUUUCAAAGUGGCGUUGCGUCUGGAGGCGCCAUUGGGAAAGUACACGGUAAAAACGGUUCAUACUUUUGAUUUCCAGGGAGUUCGUAGGAAAAACCAGGGACCGUUUUUACCGUGUGGUUUUGUGUAUCUGCACACAAAAUCUGUGUGUUCUGUACAAAGAAAUAUUUCGCAAUUACAAAGUAUUUUUUAAGUAAACUUAUGUAUGCUCAAAAUACUUAAUUACAACGAGCUGCUUUUCUUUGAUAGGCCUGAAAUAGUUUGUGAGGUUGUUACAUGAAGAAAUAGUUGGUAAUUACAAAGUAUUUUCUUAGUAAGCCAAUGUGUGCUCGAAGUACUUAGUUCUUUCUAACGAACUGCUUUUCUUUGCAAGGCCUCAAAUUGUUAGUAAAGUUUUCUCAGUGAGAUCACUGUUUGUCCUGGGGCAAACUACAAGUAUUUUCCUGUUGGGGCCCCACGCUUCUAGCCUUCGGGCAUGCUGUGGUCAACUCUUGCAGGCGUCGGGCAUUGUGUGGUCGCAAUUCAAAGCGUCAGACACAACUGGUCGACACUUGCAAGCGUAGGACAAACUGGUCCACGCCAACAAGUGUCGUGUUGUCCUAUUCUUAGAUGUGCUGUGUGCCGGGUAUCACGCGAGUGUUAACCCCAACGCGUUUUUGCCGUGUGCACUGUGAAAAUCUGUUGUCACUUUAUGACGAAAACGUGGAUGGUAUUUUCAUCACGUUCAAAUAAUGACAGUCUCAUUACAAAUUGAUGACAUUUUAAUCAAAGCUCCAAUACUUAUUGCAUGGGCGUGACAACAAUGUCAUCAGCUGUUUAAAUGACAUCCUUAAAAGAAAAAUGGGCCUCGAAAUUGUCAUUAAGUAACGACUCAAAUUUUCACAGCGUGCUUACGACUCAAAUCGCGAAAGACUCUUGAUUCCUUUUCCAUUAAGAAGUGCCGCCUUCACUCUCAUUAUAGGAACGUGACAUUACAUUCAAAUGAAUGUGCCAACAUGUCACGUUCCUUUCAGCACUGUGUCGCGUUCGUUUAAAUGUGAAUUAGCUAGUUUGUGGCCGAUUCACAUCCAAACGAAUGUGACUCAACGCUCAAAGGAACGUCACAUUUUGUGACAUUGGUUUCAACAUGAUGUCACGUCGCUCAAACGAGAGUUUUACGUUGCAGUGUUAGAUAUACUAGACAUACAUACUCUAGUAAAACUAAAGCGAAACUCUAUGCGUGAGUCAAGCAUAAAGUUACGCUUGAAGACGUAGUGCUUGAAUCGAGGGGUCGGCAACUCAUAUAUUACUUCGUACGCGGUGGCUAUAUUACCCGUAUAUUACCUGUAC